UCUGGUGAUGAUGGCGAAGAGGUCACACCCGUUCCCAUACCGAACACGGAAGUUAAGCUCUUCAGCGCCGAUGGUAGUUGGGGGUUUCCC
rnacentral:rRNA from 1 species